rnacentral:rRNA from 1 species
GACGAACCGUGCGAACGUUAUUCGGAAUCACUGGGCUUAAAGCGCGUGUAGGCGGGACGGCACGUCGGUCGCUGAAAUCCCCCGGCUCAACCGGGGAACGGGCGCCGAUACGACCGCCCUGGAGGGACGUAGGGGGACCUGGAACUUCCGGUGGAGCGGUGAAAUGCGUUGAGAUCGGAAGGAACGCCCGUGGCGAAAGCGAGGUCCUGGACGUUUUCUGACGCUGAGGCACGAAAGCUAGGGUAGCGAACGGG